UACGAAGGGGGCGAGCGUUGUUCGGAUUUACUGGGCGUAAAGGGCGCGCAGGCGGCUCAUUUUGUCAGGCGUGAAAGCCCCGGGCUUAACCUGGGAGGUGCGUUUGAUACGGAUGGGCUAGAGUUCGGGAGAGGAGAGUGGAAUUCCCAGUGUAGAGGUGAAAUUCGUAGAUAUUGGGAAGAACACCGGUGGCGAAGGCGGCUCACUGGCCCGAUACUGACGCUGAGGCACGAAAGCGUGGGGAGCAAACAGG
rnacentral:rRNA from 1 species